GCGAGAAGAUAACUAUCUUUUUACUUUACAAACAUUUGUGUCGUCAUUGUCUUCUCAAAUUGUAUGCAAGAGUUUAGAGGUGACAUGGCGGCACAAAAGAGCAUUGUCUUUCUCUGUUUCCUUUAUUUUUAACUGCCAUGGUCAUUGUUCUCAACACAUCUAUGUUUUUCUUAUUACAACUAACCUUACCCAAUUGUAAUUCUGGAAUGUGAGAACAAAUAAUGUCUCAAUUCAUGCACACCAACUUCCCUUUUGAACUCUAGAAGCUCAGUGUGGCAUUUCAUUCCUUAAACAAAAUUUGGAAGAAAUCGUAGUUCUUUAUUACCAGUUAAAUGCAUCCUUGACACAACAUGAUGUAAACCAUUCGCAUUAGAGAGCAUCUAAGGAAGAGAAAAACGUGGCUUGGCUUCCUUCUGGUUUUGAAUCUUUUGAGAAAACUAUGCGGAAUGAUUCUGAACCGGUCACGUAAUCAAGAUGAUCAAGGCCAUUUCUGAGGUCGUUGUCAUAACUUACUGCCACCUUUCUAGAGGUUAAAAGGCAUAGACUUCAAUGGGACCAUUGCUGGGAGGGGAAGUGGGGUGUGUUCCUAUUUACCAUGGCAAGUGUGGGCUUUGUAAUCCGAUGCAGUGGGAAGUGAUUUGAUGAUGGGAUUAAAACUGAAAGCAAUGUACUUGUUUGCAUUGGCUGCUACUGGCUCUUCUUACCCACUCUCUUCUGAUUUUUUUCUGCUCCUUACUUCUCUGCUAUUUUCAUUGCCACUUUUGAAUGUUCCAUGUUUGGUUUUAUGUGCAGCACCUUGACUUCUAAGAAAUGAAUCAUGUCCCCCUUGCCCCUUAUAACUGAACUUUUGAGUAUUUAAGAUUUAUUCUAUUCUUACUGUUGUGUAUUUUGUUUCCUUAUAGCCAUUAAAGAAAGCACUAAGGAUGAUGGGAGCUCCAAAUCUGAUAUCAGAUAAUUUAGAUUGUGGACUUAGUUACAGUGUUAUCUCUUACCUUAAAAAACUCAGCCAACAGGUAGUAUUGGUAAAAUCGAACAAACCAAAAUCCUUUGCCCUCAGAAGUGCAUUUCCUUAUUCUUUAGUGUAAUUGUAACUUUUCAAAUUAAAUGUGUAUAUAUCUCUACACUUUAUGGAUUAGUAAUAAUGUGAUUCUCUGUGGCUUCUAGCUUUACCAUUAAACGCAGUUAAGGGUCUGUCAG
rnacentral:lncRNA from 1 species